rnacentral:lncRNA from 1 species
AAGAGAAGCAGGCAGCAGAGACCACGAGGCCCCCCUCAGCCCAUCCCCGCAGAGGAUGCACCCCCUGGCAGGGGCUCCUGCUCACAGGCUCAUGGGCAAAAGGGGCUUGCGUUGUCUCAGAAGAGACUUGGGACUUUGGAAUUUUCUGGUAAUGCUGGAAUGAGGUAAUGGACUGUUGGGAAGCCAUUGUUACAUUUUGAAAUGUGA